CGUACACUGAAGUUGUCUCCCGAUUGCCUCUCCUCCCAGUCAGAAUGCUCCUCAUCAGAGAAACAAAAAAUAGCAGCUGUCAGCAAAGGGCACAGUUGGGACAAGGUCAGCAGAAAUUAUCAUAUAAUGGGACCAACUCAACCUGGUGAAAGCUAACCAAAAAGACUGAGAACAAAGCAGCCCCAGGACUGAUGACCACAAUCCCUCAUGGUGGGGAGAGCUGGGUGCUCCAGAGCUGCAGCCACUGCUCCCCCAAGGCCCUGGCUCCAGGCCAUUACCAGCUCUGCCAAGCAUGCUACUGGCUUUGGAUGCUCACUCUCUGUACAGCGAGGCUACAGGAAAAGCCUCAGUGAUCAGACUUGCCCUCCAACAGCUAUGACGGGCUGCUCAGUCCUCAAGAAUUCCCAAUAGGCUGAGCAAUCGUGCUCAGAGGGAGAGAUACGAUUGCAGAAGGGAAGAGGGGUCUGCCACGUGACCAGAGAAGAAGGGAAGAGAGAUGUCAUAGGACUAGAGAUAGAGCCAAAGUGCGGGUGAGUGGAGACCAUGAAGUGGGUGGGGAGAGGCAAUCAAACAAUGGAAAACACGUGACUUCUGUGCUGUGUGGUGCCCCUGUGGACACAGUAGCCAAGAAAGGGCGAGAUCAUUUUUCUUUUAAAUGCUGGCUCCUCCAUGCUCUGCACAACAUGCACCACACUAUGGAACUUUUUCCAAGUCAAGAAAUUGUUCUUUAAUCAUACUUUGUGUCUUGUUUUGCUUUUUCUUGGUGCUAGGGAUCAAACGCAGGCCCUCACAUAUUCUAGUCCCAAACAUGUUUGGAGUUAUAACCCCCAACCUAGGCACCAAUAUGUGCAAGUAUUAACAUUUACACCUAAACAGUUACAAAUGUUUCACUCUUCUUAGGGGUGAAAAACACUUGAUCAUCUCCCAGAAGUCAUUUCCAAGCAUCCUGUAUCCAUGUUUCUUUGAAGAAAAUAGAAAACUUUUGCCGAGAAGUUAAUAGAGCAGAGCCUGAGCCUGCUGCUCUUUAAAGGGUCCUUAAAGGGCAAACUUGCUGAGGGUGUAGGAACAUAAGAACCCUUCCUUCUUCACUGUUAGUAGGAAUGCUAGCCAGUGCAGCCACUGUGGAAAUCAGUAUGGAGGCUCCCCCACAAAAACACCCCCCAAAAAACCCAACAAAAACAAACAAACAAACAAAAACAGGGCUGGAGAAAAGGCUCAGCAGUUAAGAACACUGGUUGCUCUCCCAAAGGGCCAGAGUUCAACCUGAAGA
rnacentral:sRNA from 1 species